AUUGAACGCUGGCGGCAGGCCUAACACAUGCAAGUCGAGCGAGCGGCGGACGGGUGAGUAAUGUCUGGGAAACUGCCUGAUGGAGGGGGAUAACUACUGGAAACGGUAGCUAAUACCGCAUACCAUCAGAUGUGCCCAGAUGGGAUUAGCUAGUAGGUGGGGUAAUUGCUCACCUAGGCGACGAACCCUAGCUGGUCUGAGAUGAUGACCAGCCACACUGGGACGUAGCCACGGUCCAGACUCCUACGGGAGGCAGCAGUGGGGAAUAUUGCUCAAUGGGCGCAAGCCUUAUGCAGCCAUGCCGCGUGUAUGAAGAAGGCCUUCGGGUUGUAAAGUACUUUCAUCGGGGAGGCGUUACCCGCAGAAGAAGCACCGGCUAACUCCGUGCCAGCAGCCGCGGUAAUAC
rnacentral:rRNA from 1 species